GACGAACGCUGGCGGCGUGCCUAAUACAUGCAAGUAGGACGCAGUUGCGAACGGGUGAGUAACGCGUAGGUAACUACCUAUUAGAGGGGGAUAACUAUUGGAAACGAUAGCUAAUACCGCCUACUAGUAGAUGGACCUGCGUUGUAUUAGCUAGUAGGUAGGGUAAUGGCCUACCUAGGCAACGAUACAUAGCCGAACGGGGAGGGAGAUCGGCCACACUGGGACUGAGACAAGGCCCAGAACCCUACGGGAGGCAGAAGUAGGGAAUCUUCGGGAAGGGGGGGAACACUGACCGAGCAACGCCGCGUGAGUGAAGAAGGUUUUCGGAUCGGAAAGCUCUGUUGUUCAGGAAGCGGUACAUAACCAGAAAGGGACGGAUAACUACGUGCCAGCAGCCGCGGUAAUUC
rnacentral:rRNA from 1 species